UAAUUUACAGAUUUUUAAAAAUGUGUCUUUUAUCGUAGAAGAGAUUAUAAGGCUAUCCAUUGGAAAACGAACGUUUUACAACCAUCUGCUGAACGGAAAUACUAUAUGGUAUUGAAACAAAAAGUAUGUCGUUUUCUUCGGCUGAAAUAAUUGUUCUUUAUGUACCUUAAGAAGCCUUCUUUUUUCCGGUUUUCCUUCUUUCGUUGUCAUUCUAGAUUAAUUUAAAACACUGUUUAGCUUUUUUCUGACCGCACGAGCUAGUCAUGGCGACGUUUCUUUCAAGUGCUGCCUUAUCAACUGUGGAUGGUAAAUUACGCGCCUUCCAUGGUCGUAACGGAUGACGGAGAAUCAGAGCUCGAUUCCGAAGAGAGAGCCUAAGAAACGGGUAUCACAGCCAAAGAGGUAAGCAGCCGCGCAAAAUACUCACUUCUGGAACGGAAAGGUAGUGACCAAAAGCAAUAAUACGGGACACUUUUGAGAUUCCGUAAUUGGAAUGAGUACACUCUAAAUCUGUUAACGAGGGUCAACUAGAGGGCAAAUCUGGUUCUAGCAGUUUCAGUAAUUCCAGCUCAAAUCCUAGUUUCGGAUAGAAUGUCCAGGUAUCAGUGGUUACUGUCCACUCUGAAUAACCAAAUCGGUUUGCUUUGAUGAUCUUCAACAGUUGCCUUGGGUGACAAGUUAACUUUGAAAAUAUUAGUGCUCAAAACAGCCGUGACGCCUGAAUAAUGGUGUGUGGAAUAACGGAAUAAGACCUCGGUUCUAUUUUGUUGGUUUCCGGAAUGAUAAUGAUUAAGGUUAUGGUUAAGAGGGAUGGACUGGAACCUUCGUAUGGCGACACUUGAGGUAAAAUUCUUGGACCGUCGUAAGACGAAUUGCUGCGAAAACAUUUGACAAGACAAGAAUGUCUCCAUUAAUUAAGAAUGAAAUGUUGGAAGGCGACAGGAAUUUUACGUCCAAUAUCUUCCCACCAAUUAUAA
rnacentral:ncRNA from 1 species